GUUAGGCGCUGGCCCUCUCCGGGGUGUGAGCGCAGUGAGCCAGGGAACAUCUGCCCUCCCGCCCCCAUCUCUGCAGCCGGGUCCUCCUGCAGUUUCGACUUUUUGAGUGAACGCAGCAACCUUCCCCAACCUGCUGAUGCUGCAAAAAGGAGCUGGAAAAGAACGACGUGAGAGAGCUUUCGGUUCCCUCCCCACAAGGCGAGUGUGCAUCUUCCACUGCACCCCAAAGCUGCUGCCUGCUUCUCCUCUGUUUUCAUAACCUGGGAUGCCUUCCUCUGAGGUCUGCUUCACAAGAAUGGAUUCAUCACUUCAAUUUGCAAAGUCACAGUUGGGUGGACAUUCCGGUCAAGAAUUCCAGGCGGAGGCCCUCUGUCUUUGACAGCUGGCUCUAGGGUUUAGCUGUUUAGGUUUUUUUGCUCAUGACUACUGGGAUCUGCUCUGCUCAGGAACGAUCCUCCCAUAAUGUGGACGUGGCCGAGGGCUUGGGUGGAACCUUGCAGUGGCGUCAGGGGCUUGCCCUCCAGGGACCCCACUCAGUGGGGCCUCUUACCAUCUAUUGACCAGGCUGUUUUUACAGAGGCACAGGGAGAGAGGCUAAUGGGCAGAAGACGGACAGUAAUGCCGACGGUUUUUGUCGGUAGCAAUGCAAAUGAAUUUUGUCUGGUAGAGAUACAAUUGAUUUCCUUUCUAUAAGAAAGUGUAACCACAAGCAUCAUUUUGUUAUUGGCCUGGAGGACAUUUAGCAGCUUUAUGCCUAUUAGCAAGUUCAUUCCAGAUUCCAACCGCCUAUGCGCACCUUGCGCUCCACGUGUGCUGUUGAACAAGUCGAUAUCUUAUGUCUCCCUCCUUUAUUGAUGAGUUAAACAUGCUCUUUGACAUGUGUUGAAUUUAUUUUUACAUGGAAGUCAUAUACAUCUAGCCUACCCUGUCACUCCGCAAACUCAGGACAUGCCUUUGGCCAUAUAGUCUCUGUUUUUCGAUUAAUCUCUGAACUUCUCAGUACCUCAAGGGCGUGAAGCACAGCCUCUCCC
rnacentral:lncRNA from 1 species